UACGUAGGGUGCAGGCGUUAAUCGGAAUUACUGGGCGUAAAGGGCGCGCAGGCGGUCGUUCAAGUCGCGUGUGAAAGCCCCCGGCUCAACUGGGGAGGGUCACGCGAUACUGAUCGACUCGAAGGCAGGAGAGGGUAGUGGAAUUCCCGGUGUAGUGGUGAAAUGCGUAGAUAUCGGGAGGAACACCAAUGGCGAAGGCAGCACUCUGGGACGUGACUGACGCUGAGACGCGAAAGCGUGGGGAGCAAACAGGG
rnacentral:rRNA from 1 species